UACAGAGGGUGCGAGCGUUAAUCGGAAUUACUGGGCGUAAAGCGCGCGUAGGCGGCUUUCAAGUCGAUUGUGAAAUCCCCGGGCUUAACCUGGGAACUGCAGUCGAGACUGUCUAGCUAGAGUAUGGGAGAGGGAAGUGGAAUUCAGGUGUAGCGGUGAAAUGCGUAGAUAUCUGGAGGAACACCGGUGGCGAAGGCGACAUCCUGGACCGGUAUUGACGCUGAGGCGCGAAAGCCAGGGGAGCAAAGCGGG
rnacentral:rRNA from 1 species